UGGCACUGUCAAGUCAUCAGACUCGGUGAUUGCGAGGCCUGUGGGAAAGUACAAAAGCCUGGGCUAGAUUACCCCUCUCAUCGAGCCCGCCUGUGUGGCACCUGUUUCUUAUCACCCCACUAAGUUCCCGCCUCACAGGGUAGUCUGCCUAGCUAUUAAUCCUAUAUAUAGCCAGUGCCUCCACCCCCGAGAGAGAGAGAGAGACUGAAGCACGAAAGGAGCCGCGGGGAGCGGACCGGUGGAGGCUUCGGGGCAGACUGAAGCACGGAAGGAGCCGCGGAGAGCGGACCGGUAGAGGCUUCGGGGCAGACUGUAUAAGGAGAGAAUAAAGAAAAGCCUGACCACCGCCAGACCUUGUCGUGUGUCUUUCCUGCCAGCCGGGAGCGGACAUCGACAUUUGGAGGCCCGCCCGGGGAUUGAUCAACCCCGAGACGCGGCGGUGGACUGCAUUCUCCUACACAGUGCUGCAGCUGCAGGACAGGAAUCGGGACGAGAACCAAUGUGGGUCCCAGAGAGGUUGACGCGACAAGUCCCUCGACUGAAGAUCAGGCCUGUUCCACCAGAGGCCAACCGCAGACCCAACAACAAGAUGAGCCCUAAAAGAACUGCAGGACAAUCCCUUUUUGGGGGCCUGGAACGGCUUGCUCCCCUAUGUGCUACCCUUGUAUACGCAUGGCUUGCUCGCAUGGCCUACGACCGCGUUUAAAAGUGACAGGCUUCCCACAUUCUCCUCCCUAGACAACAACAUGUAGCAGGGUGGGUGAGUCAAUGACGGGUAAGAGCGUGCCUCCCCAGCACGACUCAACCUAAGCCAGGCCCUACCCCGUUCCGCUCGAAAGCCGCUGGAUUGUUAGAUAAAUUUCUCUCCGAGGGGAUUCGUGGAGAGAAAUGAGUGCAUGCCUAUGUGCAACCAGGUUCCGUCUGGUUCAUUCCUGGCCCUAGAAAAAAGGACGAGGGCCUCAGGGCCUUGGUGGACCCUGGGACGGCCGACCAGGGUCUACGCUAAGGGCCUACGGUGGGCCUCAGUUCGGGGCAUAGGCCUCUGCACUCUAUCCAGGACGGGCUGCGAUGCGCGUAGCCAUCAUUUAAAAUAAAAUAGGGGGAGAUGUUGGGAGCCGUGGCACUGUCAAGUCAUCAGACGCGGUGAUUGCGAGGCCUGUGGGAAAGUACAAAAGCCUGGGCUAGAUUACCCCUCUCAUCGAGCCCGCCUGUGUGGCACCUGUUUCUUAUCACCCCACUAAGUUCCCGCCUCACAGGGUAGUCUGCCUAGCUAUUAAUCCUAUAUAUAGCCAGUGCCUCCACCCCCGAGAGAGAGAGAGACUGAAGCACGAAAGGAGCCGCGGGGAGCGGACCGGUGGAGGCUUCGGGGCAGACUGAAGCACGGAAGGAGCCGCGGAGAGCGGACCGGUAGAGGCUUCGGGGCAGACUGUAUAAGGAGAGAAUAAAGAAAAGCCUGACCACCGCCAGACCUUGUCGUGUGUCUUUCCUGCCGGCCGGGAGCGGACAUCGACAGAUGUCCAGCUGGAGAGUUCAGCGGGACACUCGGUCCGCCAGCCUGGGAGUCCAAAGGUGCUGCCGAUGUCCCUGGAGUUUCCUGGAACAGACUUGAGGGCAGCUGCCCCAGCCUCCGCAGAGGAAUCAGCUGGAACUGCUGCCCUGGAAGGCACUCCAUCAGAAAUCUUUUCCAGAAAGGCCUUCCAGAGAGAAGUUCCCUCGAAGCCUCAGCAUGGACUUUUUGAGGCAAGUCGUUAGUCACAGGGAACAUGCUGCAUGAGAACUAGUGUGUCACUCAAAAAGGAAGCAUGAGAUGGGAAGAUCACAAAUUCAAGCCUAGCCUGGACAGCUGAGCAGCUUAGCAGACCCUGUCUCGAAAUUUAAAACAAAAAAGAAAAGAUGUUAGAGAAAGAAGAAACAAAAGAGUCCCAAGAAGAGAAAAAUCGAAGAACCGUUUCCAUGCUUUAUGCCACUGUCAAGCGGUCGGAGGGAGAAGGGUCGCCCGAGUCUUCACCACAGAAGCCUCAGUGGCCUCGCUGGCCGGGCCACGCCUUCCCGCACUGCUCACUGGCCAUGCCUUUCACAGAUGGAGCACAAGCUCCACACCUCAGGACUCAGCAAUUCUGAUCUGUUCCCCAGCGAGGAUGCUUUGUCAUCCUCCCUGAUGAAGGCAAAAUGCAAAAUUCAAGGACAAGAGACAUUGUUAAACUAAUAAUUCGCGAGGAUGAGAACUAUAAUCUCCUGCUUAUGGGAGGCUCUGGCCCUGCCUGUUCUCUCCUGUCUUAUAAGCCCUACUCUCUGGCAAUAAACCUGAGAAACAGGCUUGGA